AGUCGAGCGAGCUUGCCUAGAUGAUUUUAGUGCUUGCACUAAAUGAAACUAGAUACAAGCGAGCGGCGGACGGGUGAGUAACACGUGGGUAACCUGCCCAAGAGACUGGGAUAACACCUGGAAACAGAUGCUAAUACCGGAUAACAACACUAGACGCAUGUCUAGAGUUUGAAAGAUGGUUCUGCUAUCACUCUUGGAUGGACCUGCGGUGUAUUAGCUAGUUGGUAAGGUAACGGCUUACCAAGGCAAUGAUGCAUAGCCGAGUUGAGAGACUGAUCGGCCACAUUGGGACUGAGACACGGCCCAAACUCCUACGGGAGGCAGCAGUAGGGAAUCUUCCACAAUGGACGAAAGUCUGAUGGAGCAACGCCGCGUGAGUGAAGAAGGGUUUCGGCUCGUAAAGCUCUGUUGGUAGUGAAGAAAGAUAGAGGUAGUAACUGGCCUUUAUUUGACGGUAAUUACUUAGAAAGUCACGGCUAACUACGUGCCAGCAGCCGCGGUAAUACGUAGGUGGCAAGCGUUGUCCGGAUUUAUUGGGCGUAAAGCGAGUGCAGGCGGUUCAAUAAGUCUGAUGUGAAAGCCUUCGGCUCAACCGGAGAAUUGCAUCAGAAACUGUUGAACUUGAGUGCAGAAGAGGAGAGUGGAACUCCAUGUGUAGCGGUGGAAUGCGUAGAUAUAUGGAAGAACACCAGUGGCGAAGGCGGCUCUCUGGUCUGCAACUGACGCUGAGGCUCGAAAGCAUGGGUAGCGAACAGGAUUAGAUACCCUGGUAGUCCAUGCCGUANACGAUGAGUGCUNAGU
rnacentral:rRNA from 1 species